UCUCUGAAGAACCCCCUGAUUCAAGGGGGCACCGUAGUACGCUUGGACGGUAUGUAACUGUCGUCACACGUUUCAUCGUAAACGUAAAAACUUCGCGUUAGUAAAAAAACGAAAAUAAAACAUUAAUAAUUUUCCAACGUUUAAAACAGAUACGAUUUUUAAUAAAUUAGUUAAUCAGAAACACUUUCAAUUAUCUACAACUUAAAUAAGAAAUGUGGAUUUGUGUGAUGGUGUUCUGGUUUAAAGGAUAAUCUAAAAUAUUUACGCAUUUGAUUGUGAAUGAAAAUUGGGUGGAAAAAUCAGCCGAAAAAUGAUAGAAAAUGGUUGAUAAUUUUUCCGAGUUGUUGUUGAUCAUUAUGCUAAUAGAGUGACGAGUUGUGGGGGAUGUUGGAGGCUCCAUUGAUAAUGUGUAAAAAGUGUAUUUGUGGAUGAAAAAAUCAAGGAGAACAAUAAUGGAUAAACCGUAAAAAUUUUAUGAGUGCAAAAAAGCGACUGAAAUAUUUUGUGUUACACAUCGGUGUGUAUAGAAGGCGUUGCAGCAGUUGGAAGACCAAGAGCAACGUCCCAAAGUAUGAUAAUGUCUACAAAAACUAGUGAUUAAGUGACAAACGUGGAUUAACCCUGGUCCUGGUUAAAUGAAUUAUUAUUUAACAUGAUUAAAUUGUGGACUGAAGGAUUAUCACGUGAAAAAGUGAUAUGUUAUUAUGGGAUCAUAUCCCCAGUGGUGAUAUAAUCAUCGUAACAACGAUUGAUUAAUUUAUUUAUGAAUAAUAACCAAGUACAAGGACGAAGAAAUUGUUGAGUGUGGAUUUUAAGUUGAAUUUUAACAUUAAGAAAAAGAAAAACACACAGUGCCAACACUACAGAUGGAUAAACAGGGAUGACUGACAAUUGUUGGAAUUCAGGUGGUGGCGCUGGCGUCAAGAUGGAGCACUUUCAGACCACCCUGGACCCCAGGAAGCAGGAGUUACUGGAGGCCCGGUUUCUUGGAGCGAGG